GAUGAACGCUGGCGGUAUGCUUAACACAUGCAAGUCGAACGAGAGUUUUUAACUCUAGUGGCGAACGGGUGCGUAAUACGUGAGAAUCUGCCCCUAGGAGAAGAAUAACUACUGGAAACGGUAGCUAAGUCUUCAUAUGCUGAGAGGUAAAAUAGUUUAAACUGCCUAGGGAUGAGCUCACGCCUGAUUAGCUUGUUGGUGAGGUAAUGGCUCACCAAGGCCAUGAUCAGUAGCUGGUUUGAGAGAACGAUCAGCCACACUGGGACUGAGACACGGCCCAGACUCCUCCGGGAGGCAGCAGUGAGGAAUUUUCCGCAAUGGGCGAAAGCCUGACGGAGCAAUACCGCGUGAGGGAUGAAGUAUCUUGGUAUGUAAACCUCUUUUCUCAAGAAAGAAGUUCUGACGGUACUUGAGGAAUAAGCAUCGGCUAACUCCGUGCCAGCAGCCGCGGUAAUACGGGGGAUGCAAGCGUUAUCCGGAAUCAUUGGGCGUAAAGCGCCUGUAGGUUGUUUAGUAAGUCCAUUGUUAAAGACCAGGGCUUAACCCUGGGAAAGCAAUAGAAACUACUAGACUUGAGUAUGGCAGGGGUAGAAGGGAAUUUCUAGUGUAGCGGUGAAUGCGUAGAUAUUAGAAAGAACACCGGUGGCGAAAAGCGCUCUACUGGACCAUUACUGACACUGAGAGGCGAAAGCUAGGGUAGCAAAAGGGAUUAGAUACCCCUGUAGUCCUAGCCGUAAACGAUGGGAUACUAGGUGUUGUGCAGUUCGUACAGUAUCUUAGCUAACGCGUUAAGUAUCCCGCCUGGGGAGUACGCUCGCAAGGGUGAAACUCAAAGGAAUUGACGGGGGCCCGCACAAGCGGUGGAGCAUGUGGUUUAAUUCGAAGCAACGCGAAGAACCUUACCUGGCCUUGACAUCCUGCGAACUUUCUAGAGAUAGAUUGGUGCCUUCGGGAACGCAGAGACAGGUGCUGCAUGGCUGUCGUCAGCUCGUGUCGUGAGAUGUUGGGUUAAGUCCCGCAACGAGCGCAACCCUUGUCCUUAGUUACCAGCACGUUAUGGUGGGCACUUUAGGGAGACUGCCGGUGACAAACCGGAGGAAGGUGGGGACGACGUCAAGUCAUCAUGGCCCUUACGGCCAGGGCUACACACGUGCUACAAUGGUGCAUACAGACGGUUGCCAAGCCGCGAGGUGGAGCUAAUCUGAGAAAGUGCGUCGUAGUCCGGAUUGGAGUCUGCAACUCGACUCCAUGAGGUCGGAAUCGCUAGUAAUCGUGAAUCAGAAUGUCACGGUGAAUACGUUCCCGGGCCUUGUACACACCGCCCGUCACACCAUGGGAGUGGGUUGCUCCAGAAGUGGUUAGCCUAA
rnacentral:rRNA from 1 species